rnacentral:rRNA from 1 species
GACAAUGGGUGUAAAAACCACCCACGCCGAAAGACCAAGGUUUCCUGCGCAACGUUAAUCGACGCAGGGUUAGUCGGUCCCUAAGGCGAGGCUGAAAAGCGUAGUCGAUGGAAAACAGGUUAAUAUUCCUGUACUUCUGGUUAUUGCGAUGGAGGGACGGAGAAGGCUAGGCCAGCUUGGCGUUGGUUGUCCAAGUUUAAGGUGGUAGGCUGGAAUCUUAGGUAAAUCCGGGAUUCUAAGGCCGAGAGCUGAUGACGAGUUAACUUUUAGUUAACGAAGUGGUUGAUGCCAUGCUUCCAAGAAAAGCUUCUAAGCUUCAGGUAACCAGGAACCGUACCCCAAACCGACACAGGUGGUUGGGUAGAGAAUACCAAGGCGCUUGAGAGAACUCGGGUGAAGGAACUAGGCAAAAUGGCACCGUAACUUCGGGAGAAGGUGCGCCGGUGAGGGUGAAGGACUUGCUCCGUAAGCUCAUGCCGGUCGAAGAUACCAGGCCGCUGCGACUGUUUAUUAAAAACACAGCACUCUGCAAACACGAAAGUGGACGUAUAGGGUGUGACGCCUGCCCGGUGCCGGAAGGUUAAUUGAUGGGGUUAGCUAACGCGAAGCUCUUGAUCGAAGCCCCGGUAAACGGCGGCCGUAACUAUAACGGUCCUAAGGUAGCGAAAUUCCUUGUCGGGUAAGUUCCGACCUGCACGAAUGGCGUAACGAUGGCGGCGCUGUCUCCACCCGAGACUCAGUGAAAUUGAAAUCGCUGUGAAGAUGCAGUGUAUCCGCGGCUAGACGGAAAGACCCCGUGAACCUUUACUAUAGCUUUGCACUGGACUUUGAAUUUGCUUGUGUAGGAUAGGUGGGAGGCUUUGAAGCGUGGACGCCAGUCUGCGUGGAGCCAACCUUGAAAUACCACCCUGGCAACUUUGAGGUUCUAACUCAGGUCCGUUAUCCGGAUCGAGGACAGUGUAUGGUGGGUAGUUUGACUGGGGCGGUCUCCUCCUAAAGAGUAACGGAGGAGUACGAAGGUGCGCUCAGACCGGUCGGAAAUCGGUCGUAGAGUAUAAAGGCAAAAGCGCGCUUGACUGCGAGACAGACACGUCGAGCAGGUACGAAAGUAGGUCUUAGUGAUCCGGUGGUUCUGUAUGGAAGGGCCAUCGCUCAACGGAUAAAAGGUACUCCGGGGAUAACAGGCUGAUACCGCCCAAGAGUUCAUAUCGACGGCGGUGUUUGGCACCUCGAUGUCGGCUCAUCACAUCCUGGGGCUGAAGCCGGUCCCAAGGGUAUGGCUGUUCGCCAUUUAAAGUGGUACGCGAGCUGGGUUUAGAACGUCGUGAGACAGUUCGGUCCCUAUCUGCCGUGGACGUUUGAGAUUUGAGAGGGGCUGCUCCUAGUACGAGAGGACCGGAGUGGACGAACCUCUGGUGUUCCGGUUGUCACGCCAGUGGCAUUGCCGGGUAGCUAUGUUCGGAAUAGAUAACCGCUGAAAGCAUCUAAGCGGGAAACUAGCCUCAAGAUGAGAUCUCACUGGAACCUUGA